AUGUUUGUUAGGCAUAAAGAGAAAUAUAAUUUUCAUGUGAGGCUGCAAGUUGAUGUGCUUGAGCAGGCAUUUGGACCUAGGAUGACCGGUGCAACAUCUCGGGGAGAACCAAGUCGUCGUAAUGGCAUCUCUAGCCAGAACAGUUCAGUUGGUGCACGGCAACGUGGUGGCUCGACAAGUGUGGGCAACAGCAGUAGGGUCCCCCUUGAAGUGGAGCCUGAUGACUAUAAUUCUGGGGUUGAUGAAGAGAACACUACUGGAACAUUCUACAGAAUUUACGACGGGCACCUCGGACUGAAAACCAAGAUGAGGCUCACAAUGCAGUCCGUGUGGAUGAUGACGCGGUGGGUGAGGACGAAGACCUUGCAGCUGUUGAAUGGGACCCUUUGA
rnacentral:rRNA from 1 species